CGUGUAGGCGGGCAAUCGAGUCAGAUGUAAAAGGCGACGGCUUAACCGUAGUAUGUCAUCUGAUACUGGUUGUCUUGAGUUCGAGAGAGGGUGGUGGAAUUCCCGGUGUAGCGGUGAAAUGCGUAGAUAUCGGGAAGAACACCAGAAGCGAAGGCGGCCACCUGGAUCGACGCUGACGCUGAGACGCGAAAGCGUGGGUAGCAAACA
rnacentral:rRNA from 1 species